AGAACGACAACAAGUCGCCACCGGUGAACCGCGGCACAAGCGAACGCAGGAGGAAACGCAUCAUAAUUCGUGUCUCUUUUUGUUGUGGUGCAAACGUGGGUUCCCGCAAGACUUACCCCUCACCCCACGAAACAAAGGAAAACAAGUAGGCGGUGCUCACUCAUCAAGACAUAGAGAGAGAUUCACCUGCACAGACGUGUGCUCUCUUCAUCCGUGCAGCUGUUCUUCUCAUCUCCUUGCUGCAGCGGGUGCACCCCACAUGAGCCACAGAGCUGAAAGAGGCAACGUGAGAUCGAUAUAUCUUCCUUGUGGUAUUCGUCCUCCCAUCUCGCUCAUCGUGCCUGUUUCUUUUGAUUUAGUCUCGCUCUCUCUCGGUCGUUCUCCCUCGUGUUUGCUUGGCCGUCCCUGUGCCUGUCAGGGGUGACAACGGCGUGGUGACGGUGCGGUUCGUUUCGGCAAGGCUACGGAGCAGCAGUUCAGCCUUAGCAUUACUCUUUUCGUUGUGCCCGGGCGUGCGUGUGUGUGCCCUUCCCUUGCUAUUAUUCUAACUGUGUUGGUUCCCUUCUCUUCUCCGCGCUCGGGUUGCCAUCUGCUACACGCUUGCCUUCUACGUCCCCCCUUCUCCUUUUCUUGCUGUUGUCUAUUUGUCGGCGUUCAUCACUGCAUAUUCCGCCCCUCCCCCCCCCAACUCCUUCCUCACGCCACCGAUCUGUCGCGCACCACAG
rnacentral:misc_RNA from 1 species